rnacentral:rRNA from 1 species
GAUGAACGCUGGCGGCGUGCCUAAUACAUGCAAGUCGAGCGAACGGACGAGAAGCUUGCUUUUCUGAUGUUAGCGGCGGACGGGUGAGUAACACGUGGAUAACCUACCUAUAAGACUGGGAUAACUUCGGGAAACCGGAGCUAAUCCCGGAUAAUAUUUUGAACCGCAUGGUUCAAAAGUGAAAGACGGUCUUGCUGUCACUUAUAGAUGGAUCCGCGCUGCAUUAGCUAGUUGGUAAGGUAACGGCUUACCAAGGCAACGAUGCAUAGCCGACCUGAGAGGGUGAUCGGCCACACUGGAACUGAGACACGGUCCAGACUCCUACGGGAGGCAGCAGUAGGGAAUCUUCCGCAAUGGGCGAAAGCCUGACGGAGCAACGCCGCGUGAGUGAUGAAGGUCUUCGGAUCGUAAAACUCUGUUAUUAGGGAAGAACAUAUGUGUAAGUAACUGUGCACAUCUUGACGGUACCUAAUCAGAAAGCCACGGCUAACUACGUG